AUUGAACGCUGGCGGCAGGCCUAACACAUGCAAGUCGGGCGAGCGGAGGACGGGUGAGUAAUGUAUGGGGAUCUGCCUGAUGGAGGGGGCUAACGACGGGAAAAGGUAGCUAAUACCGCUUACCAUCAGAUGAAGCACUAUGGGAUUAGCUAGUGGGUGGGGUAACGGCUCACCUAGGCGACGAUCCCUAGCUGGUCUGAGAGGAUGAUCAGCCACACUGGGACUGAGACACGGCCCAGACUCCUACGGGAGGCAGCAGUGGGGAAUAUUGCACAAUGGGCGCAAGCCUGAUGCAGCCAUGCCGCGUGUAUGAAGAAGGCCUUCGGGUUGUAAAGUACUUUCAGUCGGGAGGCGUUACCGACAGAAGAAGCACCGGCUAACUCCGUGCCAGCAGCCGCGGUAAUUC
rnacentral:rRNA from 1 species